rnacentral:tRNA from 1 species
AGGGUGAUAACUCAGGGUAGAGCACGUGCUUAGCAUGCACAAGGUCCUGGGUUCAAACCCCAGUACCUCCA